CGGCAUCAAUUGUCGCGACGCGGGUCGCGAUUCUCGGGAAGUGCGGGAAGUGGAUUUCUCGCGUUCAGGUAUCAAAUAAAGGGAAUGAUGGCACCGCGUAGGCUAUCUUCGUCUAGAUCGGCGCGGGAUGGGACAAGUGGUGUCCCCGAGCAUACUGAGACGAGCGGAGACUUGGAGCUUCGCGAGCAGUUGGCCACACUCGUGGGAGUGGUAAGGCAACAAGCGGAUGUAGUGCAACGUCAGCAGGACGCUGCUCUGCGCCAAGAAGAGCGGAUUAAGAGACUCCAGAAAACGGUGGAUCAGUUAGGGACCGCACUAGUUUCGGCUCGUCGUGUACGGCCAGGAGUCGCAGCGGAGGCAUUUCAGUCGGGGUCGAGCAAUCCGACUGCUGUUAGUUCAGAGAUGGAAGCGGAAAGGGAGCGAGCUUUGGCGGCUCUUAUGUCCUUCAAGAAGUUUGAUCCACCUACUUUCGAUGGAGAGGACAUAGAUCCAUGGACUGUGGAGUCGUGGAUUGACUCCAUAGAGACUAUUUUCGAGGAUUUGUACACAGUGGAGCGGGACAAGGUAUACUUAGCCGUGCAUUGUCUGCAACGGUCAGCGAAGGCGUGGUGGAAAGACAUCAAACGAAAUCGAUCGCCUAGUCUUCCUUCUAUGGUUUGGGAAGAGUUUCGGGAAUUAAUGCGUUUAACUUAUUUCCCCGAUAGUGAAAAGAGAAAGCUUCAGAACAGGUUUCAGAAACUACGACAAGGAGACCGUUCUGUGAGGGAAUACGAACGGGAAUUUUCCCGUAUCGUGAGCUCUGUUCCGAACGUGGUACAAGAUGACAAGGAUCGAGCUGAUUGUUUUGUACGAGGACUUUGGCCUGAUAUUUUCAAAGUGGUGCAUAAUCUUAAGUUGCAGACUUUUGCUGAAGUCUUGGAUCGGGCCCUGUGGAUAGAGCAAGGUAAUGCUUUUGUGCACGAAGAGCACGAGUCUCAUGAAUGUAAGCAAAGAGGAAUGAGGCUACUAUCUAAUAGUUCAGAUGAACAGUCAAGUUCUAGACGUCCCUCGACAUCGUCCUCUACCCGAUCAUCUCCAAGAUGUGUGAUUUGUGGUGGUUCCCACUGGGCACGACGUUGCGUGCAGCGGGAAGGAAAGUGCACUCGAUGUGGACAAUUGGAACACCCAGGUUAUGAGUGCUUGCAAAGUGAUAGUAUACUGGCGACAGCAUUUUCCUCUCCGGGACAACCUGCGGAUGUGCCACCCGCGGCAUGGUCUGGAGAGCGAUUGAGGAUAAGGCAACCGAGGGGUUCGCGACGGGCAGCAAGUGGCUGUGAAUAGGCGACCCAUGUGGUGGAACCUACUGCGACUGGUGGUAAUGUAGCAGGAUUGAGACCCUAACGUGAAAUUGGUCGCGUGUAAACCUAAUUGAAGGUAAAACAAACGCGUUGGCGAAGUCGGUUCGGCAAUCCGUCGAGCCUACGCAAAAAUAUCGCCAAAAGGACGUUUUCGGCAUCAAUUGUCGCGAGCGCGGGUCGCGGUUCUCGGGAAGUGCGGGAAGUGGAUUUCUCGCGUUCAGGUAUCAAAUAAAGGUUGCGCGCGAGCAGCGCGGCGGCACGAGGACAGGGCGUAGCUCCAUAGAUAGCGCCCCACCACUGAGACCGAGAUAGCAAUACCCUGAAGAGGUCAAGCUCAGCGUAUCAGUAUGAAUGAAACAAAAUUGUAGUAAAAGUCUAUAAGUUGUAAUAAUUUAAAGGCUUAUGUAAUAUUGUAAAAGUAAAAAUU